CUACGGGUGGCAGCAGUGGGGAAUAUUGGACAAUGGGGGAAACCCUGAUCCAGCAAUGCCGCGUGUGUGAAGAAGGCCUGCGGGUUGUAAAGCACUUUCGGUUGGGAGGACUGCUUCUAGCACUAAUAUUGUUGGAAGUUGACGUUACCUUCAGAAGAAGCACCGGCUAACUCCGUGCCAGCAGCCGCGGUAAUACGGAGGGUGCACGCGUUAAUCGGAAUUACUGGGCGUAAGGCGCGCGUAGGCGGCUAGAUCAGUCGGGUGUGAAAGCCCCGGGCUUAACCUGGGAACUGCAUCCGAUACUGUCUAGCUUGAGUACAGGAGAGGAGAGUGGAAUUCCACAUGUAGCGGUGAAAUGCGUAGAUAUGUGGAGGAACACCAAUGGCGAAGGCAGCUCUCUGGCCUGAUACUGACGCUGAGGUGCGAAAGCGUGGGGAGCAAACAGGAUUAGAUACCCGAGUAGUC
rnacentral:rRNA from 1 species